GCGAGAAGCCAUUUCAGUGUACAUUGCUUCCACUGCUCCGUUUAAGGUGGUGUCUCGGUACUCCUUGUACAUGUUGUGAUAUCCUGUGCGACUUUGGUAGCGCAACCAAAUACCAUAGUUCUUGAUCUUUGUCGGGUUCUUCUCAAAGAUCUCGUUGAUAGCGAGCACCUGACCGUUGCUCUUCUUAACUUUCUUCAGCUUCCGCAGAAAAUACCAAAACUUGGAUUUAGCGCGAACUUCAUUGGUCGCCCACAGCUUCAUUCGAUAAAUCUUGGGAUGCUCAUCUGAUUCGGAUGGGAGAGCCCUCCCCACAACCUGGUAUUGGUGGAACCUGAAAGUAACCAUUUGCGACGAGUUUAGAGCUCUGGACGCUCCGUCUGGUGCUUUCUGGAAGAUGGAGGGUUUCUG
rnacentral:misc_RNA from 1 species